AGACACUUUCCUUACUGAGGAGUUGGUAACACUGUGUGGAAUGUUUUCCCACUCCUCUUCAAUGGCUCUGCUUGGGCAAGUAAAAUGGUCAGAGUGAUGUGUUCUCUCAUUUGUGUCUGGGAAUAGCUAGCCAACUUUAGCCAGUUAGUUUGGGUGCUUUACUGCGGUUGUGAGGUCAAUACGCUCGGAUCAAACCUACUCCUCGGCCAGAGCGUCCAGUGUGCGCUCUGAACGCUCCAAGAGCGAAAUGCUCUGAAUUUAUGAACGGACAAUCUGACAACGCCCUGAAUUUACGAGUGCACUCUGGCACACCAGAGUGAAUUUACGAACACAUUGUUACAUUUAGUUCCAUUACAUUUACUACCCAAUCAGACGUGUAGAUUUACCCAAAUACGGAAGUGAACCUAUGACGGCAGUACUACCCGGAAGUUUCUAGCGUCACCGGGUUUGGAGUGUGUACCUAGUGCAGAAACGUUCAGACGGGCCAAGUUUAACAAAGGAGAGGAUGUGGUGCUGGAGUUCUGGAAGCUCCUUCAUAGUGUUCUUCUGAAAGCACUGCUACUGGAAUGUUCUUGCACAACACUUUCAGACUUGGACAGCCAUGUGAGAGAGGCACUCUGGCAGUGUGGUUACGGUGCCAGCUGGAUUGUUGUGAAUACUGCCGGGCUCCGUCCCAGGAGUGAAGUUGGGAGCCGAGAGCUGCUGGUGGCGUUUGGGUGGGUGUUGUCUUCAGGGAGCCUGCUGGAGGCCCUGCUGAGAGCAAGAUCCCUGGAGCUGGAUAUCCUCUCACUCCCACCCACGGUCUCACUGAGUAGCCCCAGAGAGGGAGGCUCCCUUGGGGAUGUGGAUGGCCAAGGAGGCCUGAAGGAAGACCGACUCCUCAGGAGACUCCAAUGGCAGUAUGGGAAACUCAGGUUCCAGUGGCGGAGGUUGCUCUCCAUUCGAGAGGAAAGAGCUAGACUCCUUCACCAGGUCCUUUCCUCCAGCACAAUGCCCUCCACGUCCACCUCCCAGCCCUCUUCUGAUGACCAUCACAGCAUGUGCUCAACUGCCCUGAAAAAGGAGGUGGAGCGUCUACAGACUCUCAGUCAGCUGUUGGAGGCCUACCUGGAGUGGAAGAGACAGGAGCCACUCUUCUGGUGCUGGAUGGAUAGUGUUGUGGACAGCCAGCUCUCAGACCUGAGAGAGGAGGACACUGUAGAGAACAUGUCACCUGUACACCAAGUUGUCAAUAGGUGCUUUCCCUACGGUUACAAGGACAAGGAGGGUCUGGAACAACUGGACAACAUGCUGCUGAGGCUGCAGACAGGGCUGAAGGACACAUACACAAGACAGAGCAGAAAAGCGCAGAGUGUUCUUCAAGACGUUGAGGAGUUGGAGGAGAUUGAGAGGAGAGUGGCUCUCAGGCUGCAUGGCUUGGCUGAGUCCUGUACUUCAACUCCUACAUCUGGUUGCUGUAGUUACAGGCCAAGUCUCCAGGGGCCACAGCCACUUCCCAACCACCACCAGUCUUGGAGGUCAGGGUCUGUGCUCCCACAAGCCUGUGACGGGGCAGUGCUGCCAGGCAAGGUGUCUGGGACGGGCACGGUGAUGGUCCAAGUCCAGGCCUCCUCACUGAUUGUCGAGCUGCAGCAGAGAGAGGGCUUCCUGCUGGGGGAACUGGGCCAGAUGAGGCAGGCGAAGCGGGGACAGAUCCAGGAGAAGACAGCCAGCUGGCUGGAGGGGGCUGGAGUUGUCCUCAUCCCCCCUCUCCCUCUCAAGAGAUAAACACUAACAGGAUGCUACUUCAGGGUGUCUGUGUGUGCAAGCGAGUGAACAGGAUGCUGUUCAGCUUGGUGGCUGACAGACUGUCUGUCCUAGAAAUAGAAUGACUAGAAGGUGCAAAGCUGCUCGGCAAUUUGUGGCUAUCUGUUCUAUUAAUUAUAUUUCUACGGCUACUGCUAAUAUAUUGUGAUGGGAUGGACUGCAUGUGAUAUAUUUCAAAUGACAUCUGUUGAUAUCAAGAUAUUUGUGUGUGUUGAUGUAAUCCACUGUGGGAGAGAACAUAAACACCUGUGUGGGCUGGCUGUUAAGUUGCUGUGUUGUUUUUUUUCUUGUGUCUUAUCUUUUCUCGGUGCCAAGCUUUCAGGAGAGAAAACAGUCUUAAAGUUCUGAAGUAGGUCAGGGUUUAGGAUGUUCUCUCACUGAAGUUGGUUUAUAAGUAGACCGCCUGGCGAAUGCUCCCUCCGUCUCAGCCUCACACUGAUUUAGCUGAUGUUACCCGUCCUGGCCUCACCCCUCAGAGGAUUCAUCCUAGUGCCUUCACCUCUUCAAAUUUCAGGGUGUGUGUGCGUGUGUCAGUAACCAGGAAGUAACAAGCAUUUCAUGCAGAUGAAUUACCUAAUGUAUGGAGAGAAAAAAAGUCACGAUCUGACUGAUGGAAACAGGAUAUGCCGGUCCAAUUUUAUAAAUGCCUACAGACAAUUUGUUUGUUCAACAUGGUGAGAUCUAUUUGUGUCAGUAAAAUGUAUUAUUGGAGAAAUUAUGUUGGAAAUGCCUUUUAUGAGCAAAUAUUGAUAUCCACUUAACAAAAAUAUAAACGCAACACGUAAACUGUUGGUCCCAUGUUUCAUAAGCUGAGAUAAAUGAAUGUUUCAUAUGCACAAAAAACCUUAUUUCUCUAAAAUGUGCACUUUUUUUGCCUUUCUCCUUUGCCAAGAUAAUCCAUCCACCAGACAGGUGUGGCAUAUCAAGAAGCUGAUUAAAUAUCAUGAUUGUUACACAGGUGCACCUUGUGCUGGG
rnacentral:lncRNA from 1 species